ensembl:miRNA
ACUGCGGCUGACAGGUCGGACGGGAGAGGUGCUCUGCCAUCCUCGUCCGACCUUGGUCCGCUGGACU